GUCUCUGUCCUCUAAUGGAGGAAAUCCACAUGUAAUUCCUUCCUAACAAAGUGAGAAUUAGUAUUUCUAGAGAAAUCAAUUGGAAAAAUUAAAAGUUGAUAGCAAGGAGAAAUUAUGAAAUUUAAUAUCUAAUCAGAAUAGAAAAGCCAUUAAGUUAACCAUAGAUAAAGUUCACAACCUGGAAUGAGAAACCUAGUACCUCUUUGAGCUUUUUGAGUAAAUAAAAAAGGAAACUGCAAGUCAAAAUGCACCAGUUUUUACCUUGAUAUAUCAUAGCUCGACACUUCUGUUGUAUAACAUAAUUGUGCCUCAUACGCUAGAGGGCAUGAGAAUUGUAUCAGCUUAUGUUUAACAUGCUUAGAAAAGCAGUAAGAGAUUUCACACUAUUUUCCAUAUACUAAUAAUUAAUUUAUAUGAUAUGCAUUCAUUCGAAAGAAAAUGAAGUUAAUAUUUCUAUAUCUGUGACUGCCUAGAGCAAGCAAACACAAAAUAACAGAUUAACUUGGAGGAUAAAUACUACAAAAGAUUCACAAAUGGACAAUGAUAUAUCCAUUCCUAAGCGUCUAGAUUUCAGGCAACUGUUUUGUUUGAUAUUAUUAGGGAUAUGGUGUAUUCUAGAU
rnacentral:misc_RNA from 1 species